CCCACAGGAAGCAGCCAAUUGGAUAGCAGGAUGGUACUGGGUGCAGCAGCCAAGGAGAGCCUGGGGAGCAAGCCAGCCAAUCAGGCGCCGGGUGCUCAGGUAAAGCCGCUGGUGUCAGGAUCUGCCGUGCUUGAUGUGGGAUCCAUUCACAUCCAGAGUUCCAAAGUCGCAGGCCUUCAGAUCGGACACGGAAACACCAUGACCAUCACGAGGAAGACCAAGGGCAGAAAGAAGAGCAAGCAUUAGCGUCGCUCCCGGGAGCGGCUGCACCUACGGAUUCCCACCCACCCGACAAACGCCACAGCCCGGCCUCGCGGAUCAUUCCGGAAACCCCUUCCCCCUGAAGGACACAGUUCGGAGGAAACCACAAGCUGUGAAGAUUAAAUUGUCCUUCGUAUUUUCUCUCAAUCUGUAUUGGGAUUGUGCCGGCUAACACCCACGUCAAGAACAUGAGAAACUGGAGGGCCAUUCAGCCCCUCAACCUUACUCUGCCCUGAGCGAGAUCAUGGCUGACCUCAUGCUCCCAACUCCACUUCCCCGCCUGCCCCCUGUGCCUGGUGAUGCCCAGAGAGGCCGAAAGCCCAGAAUCCUGAAUAUACUCAACGGAGGGUCAUUGAGGGGAGAGAAGGAUAAACAUUCCCACCAUUCUGGGUGAGCAUCUGCCUUCGGACCUCUAGA